rnacentral:rRNA from 1 species
UGGGGAAUAUUGGACGAUGGGGGCAACCCUGAUCCAGCAAUGCCGCGUGUGUGAAGAAGGCCUUCGGGUUGUAAAGCACUUUUAUCGGGAACGAAACAUUGUCGGCCAAUACCCGGCAAGACUGACGGUACCCGAGGAAUAAGCACCGGCUAACUCCGUGCCAGCAGCCGCGGUAAUACGGAGGGUGCAAGCGUUAAUCGGAAUUACUGGGCGUAAAGCGUGCGCAGGCGGUUUGUUAAGUCUGCUGUGAAAUCCCCGAGCUCAACUUGGGAAUUGCAGUGGAUACUGGCAAGCUGGAGUACGGUAGAGGAAGGUGGAAUUCCCGGUGUAGCAGUGAAAUGCGUAGAGAUCGGGAGGAACACCAGUGGCGAAGGCGGCCGUCUGGACCAGUACUGACGCUCAUGCACGAAAGCGUGGGGAGCAAAC